rnacentral:misc_RNA from 1 species
GAGGAUAGGGGGAGAGAGCAGCAUACCUGUGUGGCUCCUUCUUUCUGUCUUCUUUUUCAUUUCUUGUUUUUUCUUUUUAUGUGUGUAUACAACUGUAACUCCUGUGUCCAACUUGUAGAAAACCCAACUCUUAUUUGUGCUUCUUUCUAAAAAACAUUAUAGCGGAUCUUCUGAUAAAAUUCCUAUUUAGGCUAAGUUUCUCUGAUUAUAUUUUAAAUGUAAAUGGCCACCAGCCCAUUUUUUUUUUUUUAAAUUGUGC